CUAGUAACGGCGAGUGAAGCGGCAACAGCUCAAAUUUGAAAUCUGGCUCUCGGGCCCGAGUUGUAAUUUGUAGAGGAUACUUUUGAUGCGGUGCCUUCCGAGUUCCCUGGAACGGGACGCCAUAGAGGGUGAGAGCCCCGUCUGGUUGGAUGCCAAAUCUCUGUAAAGUUCCUUCAACGAGUCGAGUAGUUUGGGAAUGCUGCUCUAAAUGGGAGGUAUAUGUCUUCUAAAGCUAAAUACCGGCCAGAGACCGAUAGCGCACAAGUAGAGUGAUCGAAAGAUGAAAAGCACUUUGAAAAGAGAGUUAAAAAGUACGUGAAAUUGUUGAAAGGGAAGCGUUUAUGACCAGACUUGGGCUUGGUUAAUCAUCUGGGGUUCUCCCCAGUGCACUUUUCCAGCUCAGGCCAGCAUCAGUUUUCCCCGGGGGAUAAGGCGGAGGGAAUGUGGCUCUCUUCGGGGAGUGUUAUAGCCCACCGUGUAAUACCCUGGGGGGGACUGAGGUUCGCGCAUCUGUAAGGAUGCUGGCGGAAUGGUCCUCAACGACCCGUCUUGACACACGGACCAAGGAGCGUCUACUAUGCCAGUGUCG
rnacentral:rRNA from 1 species